rnacentral:rRNA from 1 species
ACAGGGAUGCCUCAGUAACGGCGAGUGAAGCGGCAACAGCUCAAAUUUGAAAGCUGGAGGGUCCGCGUUGUAAUUUGUAGAGGAUGCUUCGGGCGCGGUCUUUGGAACAAGACGUCAUAGAGGGUGAGAAUCCCGUAUGUGACUAGCUGCCUGUGCCUGUGUGAAGCUCCUUCGACGAGUCGAGUUGUUUGGGAAUGCAGCUCAAAAUGGGUGGUGUACUUCAUCUAAAGCUAAAUAUUGGCCAGAGACCGAUAGCGCACAAGUAGAGUGAUCGAAAGAUGAAAAGCACUUUGGAAAGAGAGUUAAACAGUACGUGAAAUUGUUGAAAGGGAAGCGCUUGCAAUCAGACUUGCGCGGCGUCGAUCAGCUGGUGCACUCGGCGCUGCAGGCCAGCAUCAGUUAGCGGUUGGAUAAAGGAACGUGGGUUACUCCCUAGGUGCAAUGCAGCCGUUGGGACUGAGGACCGCGCUUCGGUUGUAAGCGACCCGUCUUGAAACACGGACCAAGGAGUCUAACAUCUAUGCGAGUUUUUGGGUGUAAACCCAUAAGCGUAAUGAAAGUGAACGGAGGUGAGGUGCAUCAUCGACCGAUCCUGAUGUCUUCGGAUGGAUUUGAGUAAGAGCAUAGCUGUUGGGACCCGAAAGAUGGUGAUCUAUACUUGAAUAGGGUGAAGCCAGAGGAAACUCUGGUGGAGGCUCGGUUCUGACGUGCAAAUCGAUCGUCAAAUUUGGGGCGAAAGACUAAUCG